UACGAAGGGGGCUAGCGUUGCUCGGAAUCACUGGGCGUAAAGCGCACGUAGGCGGCUUUUUAAGUCAGAGGUGAAAUCCUGGAGCUCAACUCCAGAACUGCCUUUGAUACUGAGAGGCUUGAGUCCGGGAGAGGUGAGUGGAACUGCGAGUGUAGAGGUGAAAUUCGUAGAUAUUCGCAAGAACACCAGUGGCGAAGGCGGCUCACUGGCCCGGUACUGACGCUGAGGUGCGAAAGCGUGGGGAGCGAGCAGG
rnacentral:rRNA from 1 species